UUUAAUUCCAGUGUUUCUAACUUUUUGAUAAUAAACGGAUAUGUCGAAACAUAUAGUUCUCAUGAAGUUAUUGUAAGUACUAAUUCCAUGAUGGACAGCGGCUAACCUUCAUAAAAUUAAAAUUGCCAUCUUAACCUCUUGAACUUCACUCUAAAACGCUAAAUGUAUUCCUUGUCGAUUAUGUCCGCAGUUCAUCAGCAAUUUAUUGGAACAAAGCUGUUAUACACCUCACGGUUUCUGAUCAUCACUUUGACUCGAAUGGCUUAUAAUUAUGUCUACUUGCUCUAGCUGUGUUUGCUGCCUUUUUACAUACACUUUUUUUUACGAAACAGCUGGAUUUUUGUGCAUUUAUUAUUCCCUAUAAGAAUUUUACAUUAUUAAAAUUUGACUUAAAUAAACAUCGGUCCUUUGUAUGAACGCUUAUUCACAUUUGGCUACCUAGGCAGUUUUAGGUACAAAUUGGACGUAUGUAUGUACAUGUGCGAGAGCAAGUAUGUAUGUAUAUAUACAUAUACACAUACAUACAUCGAUCGAAUUUAUCGAACGAGUGGUGAAUCUAUUGGAUUUCACCAAUCUUCGUGGGUCCGUAGAAGUAAAUAUGAGUUUAAAUAACUUCACAGAAUUUUAAUUUUCCAACAUUCUUGACCCUAUAAGGUUCAUAUGUAUAUGUAUUCUUGAUCAGGACGAGUUGACAAUAAAUAAAGCAUGUCGGUCUGUCUGUUUCUAUGUAUUUUACGCGGAGGUUAUAUAUAUAAAAUGUUUGUUUCCUUUAAAUUAAGGAAUAAAUGUAAAAAAAUAACACAAAAUAUCGUUUUAGCUCAGCAUUGGCUGGGGCCGAUACGAUAGCUUUUCUUUGUAGUUUGUAGUUGAUUUGUUGAAAUUUGUUUUCUCGGCUCAUUAAAGAUAGAACUUUGAGGUAUAUAAAUUGUUUGAGAUACACCAUGGAGUAAUCCAAAUAAAAGCACCGCUCCUAGCUAUCAGUUUUUAGCCAAACUGCGGUUUGGAAAAGCCUAAAAAAAAUAUGAAAGCAUCUUAAUUUGUAUUUCUGUGACUAAGGCGUGAACUAAUAGAUUUGAAUAAAACAUUUUUAACACAACCUUUUAUUAAGACUGACAACACGUUUCGGAUUUCUGUAUUUGUUUUUUAUAAGAAAAACAAACGGCAAUAGCCACAUAUGUCCUGCACAUGUCCCAUUAAACGCAGCGUAUUACAAGGCGAUCGUUCCAUUCGUUUUUAUGCCCUUGCAGAGGGUAUUAUAAUUUUUGUCAAAAGUGUGCAACGCAGUGAGGGAGAUAUCUCCGGCCCUAUGAAGUAUAUAUAUUCUUGAUCAGGAUCACCUCCUGAGUCGAUAUAAGCAUGUCCGUCUGUCUGUCGGUUUCUACGCAAACUAGUCUCAGUUUUAAAGCUAUCGAGUUGAAACUUUGCAUACAUUCUUU